GAGUUUACGCUCUACAACCCUUUGUGAACAUACCUAUAACUGUUGCUUCGGCGGGUAGGGUCUCCGCGACCCUCCCGGCCUCCCGCCUCCGGGCGGGUCGGCGCCCGCCGGAGGAUAACCAAACUCUGAUUUAACGACGUUUCUUCUGAGUGGUACAAGCAAAUAAUCAAAACUUUUAACAACGGAUCUCUUGGUUCUGGCAUCGAUGAAGAACGCAGCGAAAUGCGAUAAGUAAUGUGAAUUGCAGAAUUCAGUGAAUCAUCGAAUCUUUGAACGCACAUUGCGCCCGCCAGCAUUCUGGCGGGCAUGCCUGUUCGAGCGUCAUUUCAACCCUCAAGCUCUGCUUGGUGUUGGGGCCCUACAGCCGAUGUAGGCCCUCAAAGGUAGUGGCGGACCCUCCCGGAGCCUCCUUUGCGUAGUAACUUUACGUCUCGCACUGGGAUCCGGAGGGACUCUUGCCGUAAAACCCCCCAAUUUUCCAAAGGUUGACCUCGGAUCAGGUAGGAAUACCCGCUGAACUUAAGCAUAUCAAU
rnacentral:rRNA from 1 species